AGGAUGGUGACUUCACGAGCCA
rnacentral:siRNA from 1 species